GACGAACGCUGGCGGCGUGCUUAACACAUGCAAGUCGAACGGAAAGGCCCUGCUUUUGUGGGGUGCUCGAGUGGCGAACGGGUGAGUAACACGUGAGUAACCUGCCCUUGACUUUGGGAUAACUUCAGGAAACUGGGGCUAAUACCGGAUAGGAGCUCCUGCUGCAUGGUGGGGGUUGGAAAGUUUCGGCGGUUGGGGAUGGACUCGCGGCUUAUCAGCUUGUUGGUGGGGUAGUGGCUUACCAAGGCUUUGACGGGUAGCCGGCCUGAGAGGGUGACCGGCCACAUUGGGACUGAGAUACGGGCCAGACUCCUACGGGAGGCAGCAGUGGGGAAUAAUGCACAAUGGGCGGAAGCCUGAUGCAGCAACGCCGCGUGCGGGAUGACGGCCUUCGGGUUGUAAACCGCUUUCGCCUGUGACGAAGCGUGAGUGACGGUAAUGGGUAAAGAAGCACCGGCUAACUACGUG
rnacentral:rRNA from 1 species